rnacentral:rRNA from 1 species
GACGAACGCUGGCGGCGCGCCUAACACAUGCAAGUCGAACGAGCGAGAGAGAGCUUGCUUUCUCGAGCGAGUGGCGAACGGGUGAGUAACGCGUGAGGAACCUGCCUCAAAGAGGGGGAUAACAGUUGGAAACGACUGCUAAUACCGCAUAAGCCCACAGGUCGGCAUCGACCAGAGGGAAAAGGAGCAAUCCGCUUUGAGAUGGCCUCGCGUCCGAUUAGCUAGUUGGUGAGGUAACGGCCCACCAAGGCAACGAUCGGUAGCCGGACUGAGAGGUUGAACGGCCACAUUGGGACUGAGACACGGCCCAGACUCCUACGGGAGGCAGCAGUGGGGAAUAUUGCACAAUGGGGGAAACCCUGAUGCAGCGACGCCGCGUGGAGGAAGAAGGUCUUCGGAUUGUAAACUCCUGUUGUUGAGGAAGAUAAUGACGGUACUCAACAAGGAAG